AAUGUAACACUCAUUCCCUUAUCUCAGGGAACCGAGGUUACGGUAGUAACCAGAGUGUUAUUUAUUCAUAAUCUGCUAGUACAAUUUUGCACUGUUUUAGACCCAUUUCUUUUAUGCAAACUAGCACAAAUCGCAGGUGUGUGGAUCUUUGCACCCAUGGAUCCUGCUUUUACCUAGGAAUCUUUGAAGGUAAAGGUCAAGUUUACUCUGGUGGACCCACAGCAGGCCAGGGCUCUUGGAUGGAGGGAUAAAUGAAAAUCAGUACAGAUAAAGAAAGCAGAAACAAUGUCACUCUCCCAGCAUAUCGACCCACAGUUCCUCUGGCUAAUGUCCUUGAUUCAACAGAGGUUUGUCUUCAGGUCACCCACCACCAGCAGCAAAGAUAGACUGUGCAGUUCAUGCUGCAGUAUCAUGUCAC